rnacentral:rRNA from 1 species
UACGUAGGGUGCAAGCGUUAAUCGGAAUUACUGGGCGUAAAGCGUGCGCAGGCGGUUAUAUAAGACAGUUGUGAAAUCCCCGGGCUCAACCUGGGAACUGCAUCUGUGACUGUAUAGCUAGAGUACGGUAGAGGGGGAUGGAAUCCGCGUGUAGCAGUGAAAUGCGUAGAUAUGCGGAGGAACACCGAUGGCGAAGGCAAUCCCCUGGACCUG